rnacentral:misc_RNA from 1 species
GUAUCACUUCAACUGUAAGUUUAAUCUCAACAACCAAUUACAUGUCAACAAAUUUCAAAACAGGGACAUAUAUGAUUAUGAAAGGACAAGAAAAAAAAAAUUUGCUCCAUUCCUUCUGAUAUUCCAUUCCUCAAGAGAAGCUGGGAAGAAAGAAGAACAAAACGAAGCUUUAAUCUAGAAUUCCAGCUUGAGUUCUUCUUUCUGAUCGGAGAAAUAGUGGAGGAUGUAUGGGGCGACUCGAAUCACGGCGACCCAAGUACCGAACAGGACGACGUGGGUCUUCAACUGCUUCAAAGCAGCUGCCUUUUCAGGUUUACGCAUGAACAUUCCUGGAAACAUUUUUGCUUCUUCGCAAAAUCGAAACUCUUGUGAUUUGAGAUUGAAGAAUCUAAAACCCUAGCUUCCAACUGAAUCGGAG